UACGAAGGGGGCUAGCGUUGCUCGGAAUCACUGGGCGUAAAGGGUGCGUAGGCGGGGUUUUAAGUCAGCGGUGAAAUCCUGGAGCUCAACUCCAGAACUGCCUUUGAUACUGAAAGUCUUGAGUAUGGGAGAGGUGAGUGGAACUGCGAGUGUAGAGGUGAAAUUCGUAGAUAUUCGCAAGAACACCAGUGGCGAAGGCGGCUCACUGGCCCAUAACUGACGCUGAGGCACGAAAGCGUGGGGAGCAAACAGG
rnacentral:rRNA from 1 species